GAUGAACGCUGGCGGCGUGCCUAAUACAUGCAAGUCGAGCGAACAGAUAAGGAGCUUGCUCCUUUGACGUUAGCGGCGGACGGGUGAGUAACACGUGGGUAACCUACCUAUAAGACUGGGAUAACUUCGGGAAACCGGAGCUAAUACCGGAUAACAUUUGGAACCGCAUGGUUCUAAAGUGAAAGAUGGUUUUGCUAUCACUUAUAGAUGGACCCGCGCCGUAUUAGCUAGUUGGUAAGGUAACGGCUUACCAAGGCAACGAUACGUAGCCGACCUGAGAGGGUGAUCAGCCACACUGGAACUGAGACACGGUCCAGACUCCUACGGGAGGCAGCAGUAGGGAAUAUUCCGCAAUGGGCGAAAGCCUGACGGAGCAACGCCGCGUGAGUGAUGAAGGUCUUCGGCUCGUAAAACUCUGUUAUUAGGGAAGAACAAAUGUGUAAGUAACUGUGCACGUCUUGACGGUACCUAAUCAGAAAGCCACGGCUAACUACGUG
rnacentral:rRNA from 1 species